UACGGAGGGUGCAAGCGUUAUCCGGAUUCACUGGGUUUAAAGGGUGCGUAGGCGGGUAAGUAAGUCCGUGGUGAAAUCUCUGAGCUUAACUCAGAAACUGCCGUGGAUACUAUUUGCCUUGAAUAUUGUGGAGGUGAGCGGAAUAUGUCAUGUAGCGGUGAAAUGCUUAGAUAUGACAUAGAACACCAAUUGCGAAGGCAGCUCACUAACACAAUCAUUGACGCUGAGGCACGAAAGCGUGGGGAGCAAACAGGAUUAGAAC
rnacentral:rRNA from 1 species